rnacentral:lncRNA from 10 species
AGACCGGAGCUGUUCCUAUUCGGCCAUCUUGGCUCCUGUCCCUGAUAGCUUUUUCAUAACGUUAAAAGGCUGAUGGUGCAAAUUGGAACCAGAGUGGCUAAGAACAAAUAGAAGUAGGAGUGUGGCUGCCAGAUUAGAAGAGGAGAAGAAAGAAAACAAAAGUGGAAAUUGACUUCCUUGUUCUGAGCUGCCCCAUGGAGAGGCCAUGUGGCAAAGAAUUGAGGGUGGCCUCCAGCCAACAGCCAGCAAGGAACUGUGGCCUUCGGUGGGAGGAACAGAAUCCAACUAACAACCAUAUGAGUGAGCUUGGAAGCAGAUGCUUCCCCGGUUGAGACCUGAGAUGACUGUAGACCCAGUUGACACCUUGAUUGCAGCCUAUGAAAGGCCCUAAAGCAGGGGACCCAGCUAAGCCAAGGCCAGGUUCCUGACCCAUAGGAACUGUGAGAUAAUAAAAUUUUUUUUUUGUAAACCACUAA